UGGCCUACGGGGGGCAGCAGUGAGGAAUAUUGGUCAAUGGCCGAGAGGCUGAACCAGCCAAGUCGCGUGAGGGAUGACGGCCCUACGGGUUGUAAACCUCUUUUGUCGGGGAGCAAGACCCGCCACGAGUGGCGGAGCGAGAGUACCCGAAGAAAAAGCAUCGGCUAACUCCGUGCCAGCAGCCGCGGUAAUACGGAGGAGGCGAGCGUUAUCCGGAUUUAUUGGGUUUAAAGGGUGCGCAGGGGGAGCAACAAGUCAGCGGUAAAAUCGUGGGGGCCAA
rnacentral:rRNA from 1 species